UGAUUUCGAUAAUUUGGAUGGGUGAGCAAAUACUUUUGGCAUUAUAGUGUAGGUUCACAAGAUGAAGACUUCUUCAUAUUUUUGGCAGACUGCAAAGUGGAUACACUGCCUCUCAUUAGUGGAGCUAGCACAUUGCCCUACUCAAAGCCUUAAAUAAUGUAAUGUUUCAAAUGCAAAAUUUAUUACUGCUUUGAAGACAUCUUACUGGAAUAUUGUAGGAUUAAUUAAAUGAAGAAAGUUAAGAUUAACAACAAAUGACAGAGUAAUGUAAUAUUAACCCAUAAAGCUACAUAACCUUUUAAAGUCCAAUGUGUUCCAGUGUGUAAGGGAAAAUAUUAAUGACACAAUUAUGAUGGUCUCAUGACUGUCACAGUUAAGACUAAAAACAAAUGACAUGGUAAUGUAAUAAUACACAAAGAUAACUUUUAAAAGUAUGAUAAUUAAUACCUGUUAUGACAUAUGAUGAUUCCUUGUUAAUGUCAAAUAAUGGACGCAGAACAUACUGAUUAAAAUACAAGCCAGAACCUGAUAUAUUAAUUAUGUGUGUACGUUACCGCUGUCACCCAUCGCCUCCCCCUUUCACUCACACGUGGCACUCCAAGUCAGUGCGCAGUGGUUUUCUCUGAGAGGCAGAAGAUGUCUGUCUAAUCAUCAGUAAUAGAAUCCCGCUACAUAAAUAAUAAAAAUCCGAUGGCGACAUGUAAAUUCAGCAGUGCUUCGCUUUCACAGACGGUGGGGACUACAUCCAACUUUUACAGUCACUUAGAAAAUAAGCUCAAAGGAAGGUAAGCUCUGUGGACAUGAGGUUAGCAAAGCUAGCUGUGGAGGGACAAAUUGCAUUUGCUAUAAAAAAAAUUAUAAUAAUUCACUGCGCUGAAUUAUUGUGCAGAGGUGUUGACUGACGUGUGGUAUAUGGGACAACACUGUCACCAUAGGGAAGUGACUUUCAGGAAUAAUUUGAUUCUUCUGAACCGCUCUUUUAUGGAGCUAAAACACUUUGAUAAUUCACAAAUGCACAAGUCAAGAUCCAUAAAUGCGCAGAACAAGAUUCCUAAAUGCACAGAACAAGAUUCAGACUUGUAUUUUUGAUGCAAACACAAAUAUCUCUUGAUUUAUAAACUGCUUUUGGCCUGUGAAUUGCACUGCAUCUGUGUGUGAAUUUUGAGACUCCCCUGAUGUCUCAAUACACAAAUGCCUUUUUUUAAUAAAUGGUCUAUCUACCAACACCGCUGUAUCCAUGCCGAAGCACUGACAGUUUAGACCUCAGCCUGGCUUCUGGAAGUGACAGAGGAGCGUGUCACUAGAUGUGCUGCAUGACCCGAUGAAGGUGUCUCUCAGCUACUUCACGUUGAAGCUCCCCAGCCACGACCAGAUCUGCAGAACUUUCACCAGGACUUGGUGAUGACUCUGACUUCCAUAAGUUCUGGUUUGGACUUGUUUAGGGUCACAUGUCAUCAACUUCUAGUCAGUCUCACUUCUGAAAUAAAAUCACUUAAAAAUUAA